GACGAACGCUGGCGGCGUGCUUAACACAUGCAAGUCGAACGGAAAGGCCCCCACCUUGGUGGGGGUGCUCGAGUGGCGAACGGGUGAGUAACACGUGGGUGAUCUGCCCUGUACUUCGGGAUAAGCUUGGGAAACUGGGUCUAAUACCGGAUAGGACCAUGGUUUAGUGUCUCAUGGUGGAAAAAUUAUUGUUUUGGUGCAGGAUGAGCUCGCGGCCUAUCAGCUUGUUGGUGGGGUAAUGGCCUACCAAGGCGUCGACGGGUAGCCGGCCUGAGAGGGUGGACGGCCAGAUUGGGACAGAGAGACGGCCCAGACUCCGACGGGAGGCAGCAGUGGGGAAUAUUGCACAAUGGGCGCAAGCCUGAUGCAGCGACACCGCGUGGGGGAUGACGGCCUUCGGGUUGUAAACUCCUUUCGUGAGGGACGAAGCCACACCUUUUUUGGGUGUGGUGACGGUACCUUUGUUAAGAAGCACCGGCUAACUACGUG
rnacentral:rRNA from 1 species